rnacentral:rRNA from 1 species
ACCNGUNAUUUGCGAAAAGCGNGGGGAUCGAAACNGGNUUAGANACCCUGGUAGUCCAGNGCCGUAANCCGAUGANUGCUAAGUGUUAGGGGUUUCCGCCCNUUAGUGCUGGCAGNNAACGCAUUAAGCACUCCGCNUGGGGGGUACGACCGCAAGGUUGANACUCAAAGGAAUUGGCGGGGACCCGCACAAGCGGUGGAGCAUGUGNUUUAAUUNGAAGCAACGCGAAGNACCUUACCAAAUCUUGACAUCCUUUGACCCUUCUAGAGAUAGAAGUUUCCCCUUCGGGGGACAAAGUGACAGGUGGUGCAUGGUUGUCGUCAGCUCGUGUCGUGAGAUGUUGGGUUAAGUCCCGCAACGAGCGCAACCCUUAAGCUUAGUUGCCAUCAUUAAGUUGGGCACUCUAAGUUGACUGCCGGUGACAAACCGGAGGAAGGUGGGGAUGACGUCAAAUCAUCAUGCCCCUUAUGAUUUGGGNUACACACGUGCUACAAUGGACAAUACAAAGGGCAGCGAAACCGCGAGGUCAAGCAAAUCCCAUAAAGUUGUUCUCAGUUCGGAUUGUAGUCUGCAACUCGACUACAUGAAGCUGGAAUCGCUAGUAAUCGUAGAUCAGCAUGCUACGGUGAAUACGUUCCCGGGUCUUGUACACACCGCCCGUCACACCACGAGAGUUUGUAACACCCGAAGGCCGAAAAAUCACCAGGGGGAGUAGCCGUUUUUUGGGUNCCGGCUCU